rnacentral:rRNA from 1 species
UGGGGAAUAUUGCACAAUGGGCGAAAGCCUGAUGCAGCGACGCCGCGUGAGGGAUGACGGCCUUCGGGUUGUAAACCUCUUUCAGCAGGGACGAAGCGCAAGUGACGGUACCUGCAGAAGAAGCACCGGCUAACUACGUGCC